rnacentral:rRNA from 1 species
AUUGAACGCUGGCGGCAGGCCUAACACAUGCGAGUCGAGCGGAUGAAGGGAGCUUGCUCCUGGAUUCAGCGGCGGACGGGUGAGUAAUGCCUAGGAAUCUGCCUGGUAGUGGGGGAUAACGUCCGGAAACGGGCGCUAAUACCGCAUACGUCCUGAGGGAGAAAGUGGGGGAUCUUCGGACCUCACGCUAUCAGAUGAGCCUAGGUCGGAUUAGCUAGUUGGUGGGGUAAAGGCCUACCAAGUCGACGAUCCGUAACUGGUCUGAGAGGAUGAUCAGUCACACUGGAACUGAGACACGGUCCAGACUCAUACGGGAGGCAGCAGUGGGGAAUAUUGGACAAUGGGCGAAAGCCUGAUCCAGCCAUGCCGCGUGUGUGAAGAAGGUCUUCGGAUUGUAAAGCACUUUAAGUUGGGAGGAAGGGCAGUAAGUUAAUACCUUGCUGUUUUGACGUUACCAACAGAAUAAGCACCGGCUAACUUCGUG